GGAGGCCCGGCGCGGGCGGGCGGCCUCCUUCCCGAGGGCGCCGCGCGCGCUGCCUUCUUUUGCGCCCGGUUCGGCAGCGGUUGAAUUGAUUUUCCUUCCACAUCGCACAGGAAAAUCCAGAUCCCUCCUAGGAGGCGUUCGCCCUCUUCCCGGGGGAGGCGGCGCCCCAGAGCACCCGGACGGCGGGCCGUGGAGGAGCAUCUCAUCUCCCCCUGGGCCGCCGCUUCUCCGUGCAAGGUGGAACCGCGGAAUCCCCGACAUUCCUCAAAGGUUUUGAGAGGUGACUCUUGUGACCUUGAAUGAUUCCCUUCCCGCUCAGCUCCUGCCCGGCUUUUCUCACCUGCCAAGGAGAGACUUAAAGAAGGUGGUGGCUGGGGCUCCGUACACCAGAGUCCAAAGUCUGGGUGCACUGGGGGGCAAGGACUGGCAGAAUCUACAAUUUUCUCCGGGUGCAGGGUCAUGUAUGGCAUGAUCUGAUCUCCACGACCCUCUGAAGCAGACUAGGACCACCAGCAUUUACAGAGACUUGGGGCACAAGUUAGGCGAGUUGCCCAAGAGCUCACAGAGGAUGAUGGCCAGUUAGGUUUCAGACUGGGCAGCCCUUUUUCAGAAGCCUGUGGUUUAAUUAUGCAGACUCAGGAAAACCGCUGUGAGGAAAUAAGAAUGGGGGAGGGAAAAGUCCCCAACCUAGACUUAGACACCUGCCACCGCAUAGAGCUGAGCCAGGUAUAUUACAUCUGAUGUGGAAGAUCAUCAUGCUGGCUUCACACACCUGACAGCUGACCCUUGGAAAAGUUAGGGAAUUUGUCCAAGGUCACAGGGCAGGUACAUGAGAUGAACUACAGUGAUAUUCUCCUGGACACUCAGAGCUUUACAGUUUGAGACAAGACUUUGAGGAAGUCAUUCUGCUCUCUUUUGCCAAUAAGAAUGCUGAGGCCUAAAAUGGGUUGCCCAAGAUCACCAGCAAAGGAGAAGUGGGCCAGGACUAACGGACUUUGCGCCUCCGAGUCCAGUGCUCCAAGCCCCAUCUCAAAGAGGCCUUGAACAGAGUCAGGCACAAACUCUGCUCUUAGGCCUCUCUUCUGCAGGAAGCUAAGAGGAAGACACAGGUUAUAAAUGGAUUCAAGCUGGAAGAUGCUCAGAGCCAAAGGGAAGAGCAUUUGCUAGAGGACUCCAGAGAGGUUUCCUCCAUUGUCUCCCAUAAACCUUCCCCUCUGCCUCUUCUGUCUGCCUCCUUAAGGUUGUCUCUGGAGAAAGAGAUGCCAAAAUGGAACUCUGAGAGAUGACCUCACCUACCACAGGAAGUCCUCAGGCCAUUCCAUCCCUGAGCCUGUGUCCUCAUCUCAACAUCUUUUGGGUGACUCUCUGAAGAGGACAGAGGUGUGGAAUCUUGGGGACACAAAAGCUGCUUGUAACUCCUGUCUCCAGAAUCCAGAGCUUUGCUGCACACCCGUUCCCUCUGUGAAAUCUGAGAAGGGUUUGGCCACUAUCAACUCUAGUCUUCCGCCCCUCCCCGACUCUCACCCCCAGUACAGAGGAAGCCAACGAGAACUCUUCACUCAAGCAGGGCUCUCUGUGGAUUCCCCAUGAUUGAGGAGGCUGGAGCUCCCAUUCACCCUCUUCGCUAAUUCUGAGCCCUCUAAAGGCAUGUGACUACUCCAUUCCACCAAGGAGCAUUUACUGAGUACCUAUUAUGUGUUCAGUGUUGUCCAGUACAGUAGCCAUUAGCUAUUUGAGCACUUGAAAUGUGUCCAGUACAACUGAGGGACUAAAUUCUUUCAUAUUAUUUAAUUUUAAUUACUUUCCAUUUUAAAACAGAAGCCAUGUAAAAUAUUUUCCCCACUAAACACAACUUUAGUGUUUUGAUAGGACUUACUAUAUUUAACUUUCACUGUCAAGUGUUUAGCAUCUAAAUCGUAAUGUGUUUUAAGUGUAAAAUACAUACCCUAUUUCAAAGAC